GCAUUAAUGGGGUAGUGGUAACCUGGGUCGUUGCCAUAAGGAUGGAACUUCCUCUCGACCCGCCGGGGGUUCGAUUCCCUCUUAAUGCA